UUUUUUUUUUUUUACGGAGCCUCGGUAAACGAGGAGCAGCGCAAGGUGGGAGGAGGAAGCGCGGAGCGGAAGGGAGCGGGGAUGAGCGAUGAGGGAUAACAAAGAGUCAGGUGCAGCGCCCUCACGGCCGCUCCUGGAUGGCUCUGGUCUUUAAGCACUCCCCUCACAAUUAAAUAAGAAAACGGGAAAAGCCGCGGAGGCAAAAGCCGCGUUUGUGCCGGCAGCUGCAGCGCUGAGAGAGGCGAGUGCAUUGUGCGGGGAGCGGGUGGCGGGCGGCCGUCCCACCCCACCCCAUCCCACCCAUCCCAUCCCAUCGAAUCCCAUCCCAUCCCGGGGGAAGGCGCGCCUGGCGCGGGCACGGCCGCACCCCGCGCUCGCACCGCGUCCUGCGGCUCCGCAUCGGAGCGGGACUCCCAGGGCUGGAUGUCGCCGCGGAGCCAAACAAACCGGGAGCAGAGACGGGGAUUUCAGCAAUGGCGAAAGGGGGGCGAGCAUCUCCAUAAAUAGGAAUGCAGACAGUCUGGAGUGAGUGUGCCUUUCUGAUACGGAAUUCAUGGAUGGGAGGGCUUGGAAUGUGCCUGACUUGGAAAGUAUUUAGUGGUCAGUGGAAAAAAAUGAGGAAGAGGAGGGUGUGGCUGCUGCUGGAAGGCUCUGGCCCUGCAAAGGGUCCCUGGCUUGUAGAGAUGUGGUCCUGCAUCGUCACAAAAUGAAGACCUCUUACAGGUAAAACUGAGCUAUUCUUUUUUUGUUGUUGUUAUUAAUCAGAAAACAAGCCAGCAUCUAAUCCUGCUGUUUCGUAUGCCUGUUUCUGAAGCCUGGUCAGUGGCCCUCACUUGAGUUUGGUAGCUUUAUUCACAUCUUGUUUUGCUCCAGACUUGUCAAUUCUUUCCCUAAUCAGUCAUGACAAGAGCAACAAAAACUAGUUUAAGCUCUGCAGAGUAAUAAGAAAAGUAGUUUGAUGUUUUGUUU